AUUGAACGCUGGCGGCAUGCUUUACACAUGCAAGUCGAACGGUAACAGGCCGCAAGGUGCUGACGAGUGGCGAACGGGUGAGUAAUGCAUCGGAACGUGCCCAGUCGUGGGGGAUAACUGCUCGAAAGAGCAGCUAAUACCGCAUACGAUCUGUGGAUGAAAGCGGGGGACCUUCGGGCCUCGCGCGAUUGGAGCGGCCGAUGUCAGAUUAGGUAGUUGGUGGGGUAAAGGCUCACCAAGCCAACGAUCUGUAGCUGGUCUGAGAGGACGACCAGCCACACUGGGACUGAGACACGGCCCAGACUCCUACGGGAGGCAGCAGUGGGGAAUUUUGGACAAUGGGGGCAACCCUGAUCCAGCAAUGCCGCGUGCAGGAAGAAGGCCUUCGGGUUGUAAACUGCUUUUGUACGGAACGAAACGGUCUGGGUUAAUACCCUGGGCUAAUGACGGUGCCGUAAGAAUAAGCACCGGCUAACUACGUGCCAGCCGCCGCAGUAACAC
rnacentral:rRNA from 1 species